rnacentral:rRNA from 1 species
GACGAACGCUGGCGGCGUGCUUAACACAUGCAAGUCGAACGGAAAGGCCCUGCUUUUGUGGGGUGCUCGAGUGGCGAACGGGUGAGUAACACGUGAGUAACCUGCCCUUGACUUUGGGAUAACUUCAGGAAACUGGGGCUAAUACCGGAUAGGAGCUCCUGCUGCAUGGUGGGGGUUGGAAAGUUUCGGCGGUUGGGGAUGGACUCGCGGCUUAUCAGCUUGUUGGUGGGGUAGUGGCUUACCAAGGCUUUGACGGGUAGCCGGCCUGAGAGGGUGACCGGCCACAUUGGGACUGAGAUACGGCCCAGACUCCUACGGGAGGCAGCAGUGGGGAAUAUUGCACAAUGGGCGGAAGCCUGAUGCCAACGCCGCGUGCGGGAUGACGGCCUUCGGGUUGUAAACCGCUUUCGCCUGUGACGAAGCGUGAGUGACGGUAAUGGGUAAAGAAGCACCGGCUAACUACGUG